rnacentral:lncRNA from 1 species
AAGUUUUGAAAGUCAUUUUUGAAAAUCUUUUAUGAGUAUUGGUUUAUCUAAUCUAAAUCAUGACUGGUUUGAACAUAUGGAUGCACACACGCACUUAAAGUAUCAUGAGUAGAUGUGAAGUUAAUGAAAGUUGUUGAAAUUGUAGACAUGACAUUGUUUUGAAGUUUUCAUUGAGUUAUUAUUUGAGGUAACCUUUGAGGCC